rnacentral:rRNA from 1 species
CACGUAGGGGGCAAGCGUUGUCCGGAUUUAUUGGGCGUAAAGAGCUCGUAGGCGGCUCAGUAAGUCAGGUGUGAAACCUCCAGGCUCAACCUGGAGACGCCACCUGAUACUGCUGUGGCUAGAGUCCGGUAGGGGACCACGGAAUUCCUGGUGUAGCGGUGAAAUGCGCAGAUAUCAGGAGGAACACCGGUGGCGAAGGCGGUGGUCUGGGCCGGAACUGACGCUGAGGAGCGAAAGCGUGGGGAGCGAACAGG